rnacentral:rRNA from 1 species
GAGUUUGAUUAUGGCUCAGGAUGAACGCUAGCGGCAGGCCUAACACAUGCAAGUCGAGGGGUAGGGUGCUUCGGCACUUGAGACCGGCGUACGGGUGCGUAACGCGUGUACAAUCUACCUUUUGCUAAGGGAUAGCCCGAAGAAAUUUGGAUUAAUACCUUAUAGUAUUAUUUGGUGGCAUCAUUGAAUAAUUAAAGCUACGGUGGCAAAAGAUGAGUACGCGUCCCAUUAGCUAGUUGGAGUGGUAACGGCACACCAAGGCUACGAUGGGUAGGGGUUCUGAGAGGGAUGUCCCCCACACUGGUACUGAGACACGGACCAGACUCCUACGGGAGGCAGCAGUGAGGAAUAUUGGACAAUGGUCGGAAGACUGAUCCAGCCAUGCCGCGUGCAGGAUGACGGCCUUAUGGGUUGUAAACUGCUUUUGUAUGGGAAGAAUAAGGUCUACGUGUAGAUUGAUGACGUACCAUACGAAUAAGCUCGCA